CCGAGAUGCACACUGCAGCAAGGGCUGCCGGAGGGGCUGCGGGUUGCGGCUGUGUGCAGACAGCGCAGCGCUGAGGAAGCCUGCACGCACGGCAGAUGGCCGGCUCAGCUUGCGACAGAUGACCAGGCAAAUGAAGGAAAGCAGAAAUUCUGAGGCCAAAGGGAUGAUAUCAGAAGACUGGCAAGCCACUGACAGCACUGCUAAUCACUUCAACUGAGGAAGGAAACUGGUUCCCUACAUGGCACGAGGCCCUGGCCGAGCACCGGACACUGAGAAGCCUAAGAGAACCACAUUCUCCAUGUAACACCACCACCACCAAAAUGCACAGAAGAUGGAGAGGGACACAGAGACUGCAGGCAGAAUUUACUUCUGAGUUUCUGCACGUCCUGUCCAACAGCACUGAGCAGCACAACAGUGAAUGCAGCAUGAGGAAGUGAGACAAAUUAGAAGAACUGAGUUCUGAUGGUCAGUCUGAGCUGAAAGAGAUGCUACAGUUUCUGUCUGCAACUGAAGCCAAGUGAUCUGUAAUGCUCGCAAUUACAGCACUUUACAAACGGAAAAGGAAAGCCUUGACCAUAAGUUGAUUAAUUCUGAACUAAUUUUAAGGGUUUAGAAAACAAAAAAAUACUUAAUUACUAAAGAUUUAAAUGUUGCAUGUCUACAUGAAGAAAUAUAUAUUUGCUCAAAGUUCAGAAGAUUGGAGGGUAAAAUUAAUCAUCUUCCCUGCACUUAAUUGCAUUCAGCCUUGAGAUACAUACUUCUAUGAGUUCUGUAAAUUUGGCUUAGAUAUACUUUUGUAUAGCUAUAGUUAUACAUACAUCUCAUGUUGCUGCUUCUGUUUCUGUUCUCUGAUUGGGAAACACUGCUUUACUACUGGUAAAGUUGCUCUACAAGCAUUUACAUCCAUUCUACCUUGGAAUACACAUGCGCCAUAGCUUACCUGGAGAUGAAGAGAAUGGGCUGCUGAGGAAUGUCUUUCCCAGGGGGACUCAUUUUUCCAGGAAUACACCUCUGGUACAGUAUUUCCUCAUGGAGGGCUUCCUGAGCACAGCCACACAAUAUUUAGCAUAAAGGCAUCAGAGGAACACAAUUUCUUCAGACCACAACUCACUAAAUUGGCUAAGGGAGGCAAAGGGAAAUGCUGAAGUUUAACAAGGAAAGAAAACAGACAGAAGAACACAAACCACAUGGUCAGGGAAUAUCCAACAAGGAUAUUUUACUCCCUUUCCACCGACAUUUUCCUGCUGCUCCAUCCCAUUCCCCUCUCUCAUCUAACCUCCUACUGAUGCUGAACUCUUCUGCCCAAUCCACAUACGGCAUGCUUUGAAACUCACUGCUCUAUACCAUUUAACCACAGUCCUCUUCUUUAAAAUUGAAUGACUGACAUAUAAUUUCAGAAGUCUCAGACUGACCCAGCAACUGAGAAUGAGCAGAAGCAGAAGCUUAGACACAGCUUUAAAACUGCAGCAUAUGUUUGUGAACCAAUUGCAUGGUCAAGAAAUGUUGGCUGGGACUUUAGAUAUUUCAUGAAUAUCGUGAAGUCAUUUCAUGAAACCAGAUUUGGAGUAGUAGGCUGAGCAGUGGGGUUUUUCUUGUUCCUUUGGCUGAAGAGGCUUGUGUUUCUGGCACUGAAUGCAUUCGAACAGUGGUAUGGAGUCACCAAAAGGAAAACUGCCCAGGUAAGGAGUAAAAAGAUCAGAUGAGAGUCGUAUUCUGAAGCUUUGUGUCUAUAGCAAAGUGUGAGCAAUCACUUCAGUUUCUGGGAAAUCUACUGUAAAUCAUGAUAGGAAUGUACAAGACAUCUGUGAUGGGCAUGUCUUCAAAUCUAAGUAACGAUGGCUGGCUGUAGAAAAUUCACAAAGGCUGGAUAUGGAAAGGUAACAGUAAUACUGAAAUCAAAGCAGAAACAUCUUCACUUGCCCUGCAAAGACACAUUGUUUCAGCUACUUCACUUGAUUUGACAAAACAAUUUUGGUUUUGCAGGCUUUUAUAAUGAUUACACAUUGAAGUGGGCAAUAUACAUGCAAUAUACAUGCAAUAUACAAACUACAAAGAGGGAGAGCUUUCAUAUGUUCUAGAGGACUGUUAUCUUUCUGUUUUCUUUGGAAUGCUUUAAACACAUGCCUCCAGGUUACAGUUUAAAAUGGUCAUGCAGUCACUGAAUAAGAUGGUAUUUGCAUGCAUUGUCACAGAUUCAAAAUACUUCUCUUUUCAAGGUUUUCCCUCCAUUUACAUACUUAGUAGGGCUUGACAGUUAUGGUUUUACUUCCUCUUGCACAAGGAACAGCAAACCAUUUUGAAAAGGCUGUAAUGUACUUGAGAAAGAUUGACUGUAGCUGUCCUUACGAGAACACAGAAAGCAUAGUUUGCUUCUCCAUUAAUUUUAAUCAUACAAUAUGAAAGCUAGAGUGAGCAUUGUCCAAACAAGAUCACAUAGGCUGUAUGUUAAUUCCAACCAGAACUGCUUCUGUCCUCUGUCAGUAACAUUAACAAAGUGUGCCUGUGUUUGCUCUUUGCAUCAAAAAGUUCUGCCAACAUCACACCCAAUUAAUUAUCACAUAACACUCCCCCCUAAUGCCCUGGAGGUACCAUGUAGGUACGUGUUCCAUUAACUUGUCUUUUUCUUGUUCUAGGAACUGGACACAGUGCUCCAGAUGGGCUCUCACUUGAGUAGAAAAAAUCAUCUCCCUCAACCUGCUGACAACACUCUUCCCAAUGCAGCCCAGGAUAUUGUUGACCUUCGACGUGACAAGAACCUGUUGGUAGCUCGCAUUAAACUUGGUGUCCACCAGGACAACAAGGUUCUUCUCAGCAAAAUUUCUUCCAGUCGCUCAGUCCCCUGUGUAUACUGGCAUGUGAGGCUAUUCCUUCCCAGGUUCCACAAUUCCAUUUGUUAAACUUCAUGAAGCUUUCUGAAACUUUCUCCAGCCUGCCAAAGUCCUUCUCCUGGUGUGGCAGCCACUCCUCCCAGUAUUGUGCUUUCUCUGCAAGUUUACAGAGAAAGUGAUAGAUACUCUGUCCAGUGUCUGUGUCAGUAGUGAAGUUAAGCAGUUAUAGGGUCAAUAUCAAUAUCUGGAUAUAUUACCAAGAACUGGUUAGCCACUGGAUUUUGUACCACUAGUCACAAAAUCCCUGAGCCCAGCAGUUCAGUCAGUGUUCAGUCCACAUCAGAGAGUUCACUCCACUUACACUUCAUGGGUUUAUACAUGAGGAAGGCAUGGGAGACAAUACAGAAUACCUAUUAAAAGUUGAGAUAAGUAACAGUGCUCUCCCCAAAUCCCCCAAGCCAUUCAUCCCACUGCAGAAAGCUGCCAUGUUGGUUAAGCACUGCUGUCACUUUGUGAAUCCAUGCUUACUACUAUCACUUUCUUCAAAGAAAGCGUAGAUGUGCUGUAGAGAAAAUGAAUGAGUUCUCUGUAGUAUGUUUCAGCUCUGUGGUAUGUCCCAGAGUUGAUUUUCUUCACAGUGGCUGGUAUAACACUAUGUUUUGGCAUUAAGAGAAAAACUAUGUUGACAAUACACCGAUGUUUUGGUUGUUACUGCAUAGUGCCGUACAGAGCCAAGCACUUUUUAGUUUCUCCACUUCUUCUACUGUCCUGGCAGCGAGGGAUCUGGUAGGGCACAAGGAGUGGAGGGGGGACAGAACCAGGACAGCUGGCCUAAACUGCCCAAAGGGGCACUCCAUGCAUGUGGCAUCAUGUGAAAACUAUAUAACUGAGGGGAGCAGUUGUUUUUGUUGUUUUUCUUAACUCUGGCCAUGUUAUUCAUCACUCUGAAAGCUGGUCUAGGCUUAUUUAUGAUUUUUCCAGCUUGUAUAUAGCAUAUGCUCUUGUUAUAAUACAAUCCAGUUGUGGAUUUAUUUUGGUAGUAGUACUCAGCAGUGCCAUCAUCCUCGCACUUUAGGAACCUUAUCGUGGAAACGUAACAAGUACAUUCUUGACAUGUCAACCAGGCAAGUGGACCACCAUGGAAAGAGGUAUCCAGUGUCUAAGGGAAUUAGCUGUGCUGGAGGUGAUGUAUAAUGUUGGUCUGAACUACCAAUUAUUCCAAAAUUGAGAUGUGUUAUUUCACAGUCUAUGCGGGGUGAGUUUGUACGGAGUUCACCAUCUCUGUAUGCCAACUCACUGCCAGCAAUGACCUGGAAAGACAGAGAAGAACAGAUGAUGGAUAAAUUCACUGACCAACUCCAGCAAUAUAUAUAUCUCUCCUCCUCUCUGAGGGCCUGUGUUUCAGCUGUGGAGAAGCAUUCCCAAGUGGCCGAACAAGUCGAAGGGAAUAAAUCUUCUGUCCUGCCUGCAUGGACUAGCAUCUCAGCUACCAGAAGUAAGCAUUUUUCAAUUCAAGACAGAAGAUAUAUUGGGUGUACAUCACAUGCUAACCUGUGGACUUACCUGCAUGACCAUGGAGAGGAUAUGAGGAAAUUAGAUGGAAAACUCACUUCAAUCCUAGAGGUACAGAUAUGUGAGUUGCAAGGGAAAACCAUUCCUGGAAAAUGACCAUUCCACUUGCCAGUGGGUUGUUCUCCAAACAGAGUAGAUGGCCUGACCUUAUUUCUGAGUUUGAUGACCAGCCUUUUGGUUUGCAUUCACGAGUGAUGAAUACAAUAACCAGAACCAGAAGGGCCCUUCUUUCAGUCAGUGGAGGAAAAGGACAGCCAGGUUUAUUGGGCUGUGUGGAUUCAAUGGCCUGGCACAUCAGAAGCACAGGAGUAUAAGUGUCUAGUGGACACUGGUGUACAGUGUACCCUAACGCCAUCAAAUUACGAAGGGUCACAACCUGUCUGUAUAUCUGGAGUGAGAGGCGGAUUCCAAGAGCUAAUUUUAUUGGAGGAAUCUCAGUCAGGAAUUGAGCAUGACUGAGAACGAGUGGCAAAAGCACUCCACUGCAACUGGUCCAGAACUUCUGCACAUCCUUGUUAUAGAUUACCCCAGAAGAGGAUACUUCAAGGACUCAAACAGUACCAACAGGUUUUUGGUAUAGCUGCCUCGGAGAUGGAGAACAUUAGGUAACUGUCUACCUUGCCCAGCCUCUCAAAGAACUUUUCUUUUGAGGGGGUUACUAAGAGCAGAAGUACAGCAGGAGCUGAACACUUCCACACUGGUGCACCAGUAGUAAUAUCGUACCAUUUGAGAUUCCCCGAUUCCCAUCCAUCAGCUGAUUUGUCAGCUGCAGAACCACAAACUCGAAAUUGCAAAUGCCAUGUGCUUAACAAUGGAGAAAGUAACCAUUGGGUGGCUGAAAACAUAUCCUAUAUCCCAUGCCACUGCCCAAAAUACUACCCUGCGCCUUGACAAGCAAGUCUUGUGGUGACAUGGCACUCAACACCACACUCCAUUUGAAGUAAGCUAUUCAGAACUAACAAACCAAAAGAUCUUCAGUUUAGACCUCACACAGGUCUCAAAGCAAAUGAGGAAGCAAUCAGCUUUAUCGGUACCAUGCAAAGUUAUCAUGGACUUGGGAAGGUUAAAUUGUUUUCAGCCCAGCAGUUACUUGACAGCAACAUGAAGUUGCAGUUUGCUGGCCUUGAUUGAAUUCAUAGUAAAAACUGAAGUCAGAUAUUUCCUGAAAUGCAGAGACCUAGAUCUAUACAUAAAUAGCUUGUUUAAAUAGCAAUUUAAGUGUUGAAAAUUGUUUCUUACCUGUCCUGUGUUCACACUUCUGGAAACGCUGCAUCAGUGCAAUUAAGAUAGUAGUUACAACAAGUCCUGCUGAUUUUACAACAAAAAAAAAAUAGAGAACAGCAUUUUUUCCAAACAUGCCCAUUUGCUUUAUAAUGAAAACUUGGUUGUCAAAACACAUACUGUGCUUAUUAGAUCUAUUUAUCUCAAUCAAGGGGAAAUUAUUUGAAACUAAAAGAGGAAACCAAAAGAGGUUGGAUAUAAGGAAAAAAGUUUGUUAUGAUAAGGUUAGUGAGGCACUGGAACAGGUUGCCCAGAGAGGCAGUGGAUGCCUCAUCCCUGGAGAGGCUCAAAUCAGGGCUAUGAGCAUGUGAUGGAGCUGUAGCUACCCCUGUUCGUUGCAGGGGAGUUAGACUGGAUGACCUUUAAGGGUCCCUUCCAAUUCAAAAGAUUCUAUGAUUCCAUUAUUUUUCUUGCAUCCUGUAUGUACAUUAUAUCAGAAAGUUGACUUCUGAAAUUAAAUGUUGUCUUAUUACCUUUGUCUAAAGGAUUCACAACCAAAUGGCCUCUUUUCAUAAUGCAUACGCAAGAAUCUGUAGCCCAUGGCACUAGGACAGACCUCGGCCAACUGUCUGGCUCAGCAGUUGUUCUUUCUGUCCCAUGCCACCAACUAAGAUACGUGCAAGGUGUAGUGAUAAGAACAGCUAGUAAGCAAUAUUCAUAUGCUAGGCAUUUACUGCCUCACUUAAACUUGCAGGUCUUCCUGGGUGGUUUUACAUCACAGGCCAAAAGGUAGAUCAGUGAUGGCUCAGAGCCUGAAAAACAGAAAAACAAAGCAGCUCCACUUUGGCCAGACAAAACACUGUGGGCUUUGUAAAACACAAUGCACAGAAGUACACACAUCUGGAGUAGGAAACAGUAGUCCAGGUAUCACCUUCAGGCAACAAAACCCCUGUAAGCACCACUGCUGCACAACCUUGCGUUCCAGGGAAGUGCGUGCAGUACUGAAACUGUGCAGAUCAUUGUCAUUUCAUAUGGGACCUAACAUGUCACUGCCCAGCAUUGUACUGUCCUGCAUCCUCUUUCACAACGAUGCACAGCCUCAGUGUUCCAUUACAAAAGACGUGAAUCCACUGGCCGUGUCCACUAUUGCUAUGUGUCCUGUGCUGUAAGGGCACAUUUCCUCUGUACCAGCUGAUAUGAAAAGGCUGCCCCCACUGGGGAUAGCCAAGGUAAAAAAUAACAGUCACACACACCUCUGUUUAUUGUUGUCACAUUACCAUAAGCUGAAAAUACAACACACAGAACAAAGUCAUUACAAGCAAUUUUCUUUCAGCCUAUCCCUCAAACAUUGCCCUGAUCCUGCAAUUAGUAAACCCAGCAGCAUAAAGC